rnacentral:rRNA from 1 species
CAAUAGCGUAUAUUAAAGUUGUUGCAGUUAAAAAGCUCGUAGUUGGACCUUGGACCUGGACAGGCGGUCCGCCUCGCGGCGUGUACUGUCUUGCUGGGUCUUUCCUCUUGGUGAUCUGUUGUUUCGGCAGCAGGGAACCAGGACUUUUACUUUGAAAAAAUUAGAGUGUUCAAAGCAGGCUCGACGCCGGAAUAUAUUAGCAUGGAAUAAUAAAAUAGGACGUGCGGUUCUAUUUUGUUGGUUUUUGGAAUCGCCGUAAUGAUUAAUAGGGACAGUCGGGGGCAUUAGUACUCACAUGCUAGAGGUGAAAUUCUUGGAUUUUGUGAAGACUAACUUCUGCGAAAGCAUUUGCCAAGGAUGUUUUCAUUAA